GAUGAACGCUGGCGGCGUGCUUAACACAUGCAAGUCGAACGAUUAAAGCACCUUCGGGUGUGUAUAAAGUGGCGAACGGGUGAGUAACACGUGGGUAACCUGCCUUUCACAUCGGGAUAGCUCAGGGAAACUUGAAUUAAUACCGAAUACUCCGUUUAGAUCGCAUGGUCUUUUCGGGAAAACUCAGGUGGUGAAAGAUGGACCCGCGGCCCAUUAGCUAGUUGGUGAGGUAACGGCUCACCAAGGCGACGAUGGGUAGCCGAGCUGAGAGGCUGAUCGGCCACAUUGGGACUGAGACACGGCCCAGACUCCUACGGGAGGCAGCAGUGGGGAAUAUUGCGCAAUGGGGGAAACCCUGACGCAGCAACGCCGCGUGGAGGAUGAAGGUUUUCGGAUUGUAAACUCCUUUCAAUAGCGAAGAAAUUGACUGUAACUAUAGAAGAAGCCCCGGCUAAAUACGUGCCAGCAGCCGCGGUAAUACGUAUGGGGCAAGCGUUAUCCGGAUUCAUUGGGCGUAA
rnacentral:rRNA from 1 species